rnacentral:misc_RNA from 1 species
GAUUUUAUUUUCUACAGUGUUCUUGUGGGUAGGGCUGCAAUGUAUGAUCUCAUGACAGUAUAUGCAUGCUACCUUGCAAUUAUUUCAGGACUUGGCUGCACUCUUAUUUUGUUGUCAGUGUGCCGCCAAGCUUUACCGGCUCUCCCAAUUUCUAUAGCAUUGGGUGUUGUCUUUUACUUCUUGACUCGGUUAUUGAUGGAACCUUUUAUUGUUGGGACAGCAACAAAUCUGAUGAUGUUUUGAUCCUCUGUUGUAACUAAAAGGAGGAUUUUUUUAGCACUGUUCAUAGAAAUACUGAUGUCUUCAGGUGCAAAUUUUGUACACAGUAUGGUUAGCAUUACUUACCAAAUUAUCUUUCUCAUUUGCUCAUGUAAGUUUCUC